rnacentral:rRNA from 1 species
UACGGCCGCAAGGUUAAAACUCAAAUGAAUUGACGGGGGCCCGCACAAGCGGUGGAGCAUGUGGUUUAAUUCGAUGCAACGCGAAGAACCUUACCUGGUCUUGACAUCCACGGAAGUUUUCAGAGAUGAGAAUGUGCCUUCGGGAACCGUGAGACAGGUGCUGCAUGGCUGUCGUCAGCUCGUGUUGUGAAAUGUUGGGUUAAGUCCCGCAACGAGCGCAACCCUUAUCCUUUGUUGCCAGCG